GUAAUACUCCCUCCGUUCAGAAAUACUUGUCCAAUGAAUGGAUAAAAUAUAUGUAUAUAGAACUAAAAUACGUCUAGAUACAUCCAUUCCUCCGACAAGUAUUUCCGAACAGAGGGAGUAUAUA
rfam:Triticum aestivum genome assembly, contig: Triticum_aestivum_CS42_TGACv1_scaffold_250298_3DL